UACGCCCGAUCUCGUCCGAUCUCGGAAGCUAAGCAGGGUCGGGCCUGGUUAGUACUUGGAUGGGAGACCGCCUGGGAAUACCAGCUGCUGUAAGCUU
rnacentral:rRNA from 1 species